rnacentral:rRNA from 1 species
AACGCGAAGAACCUUACCAGCCCUUGACAUCCCGGUCGCGAGUACCAGAGAUGGAACUCUUCAGUUCGGCUGGACCGGAGACAGGUGCUGCAUGGCUGUCGUCAGCUCGUGUCGUGAGAUGUUGGGUUAAGUCCCGCAACGAGCGCAACCCUCGCCCUUAGUUGCCAUCAUUUAGUUGGGCACUCUAAGGGGACUGCCGGUGAUAAGCCGCGAGGAAGGUGGGGAUGACGUCAAGUCCUCAUGGCCCUUACGGGCUGGGCUACACACGUGCUACAAUGGCGGUGACAGUGGGAUGCAAUGGAGUAAUCCUGCGCAAAUCUCAAAAAACCGUCUCAGUUCGGAUUGUGCUCUGCAACUCGAGCACAUGAAGUUGGAAUCGCUAGUAAUCGCAGAUCAGCACGCUGCGGUGAAUACGUUCCCGGGCCUUGUA